rnacentral:rRNA from 1 species
AGAGUUGAUCCUGGCUUAGAACGAACGCUGGCGGCGCGUCUUAAGCAUGCAAGUCGAACGGCAAGAGGUAGCAAUACCUCCUAGAGUGGCGGACUGGUGAGUAACACGUGGGUGACAUACCCUUCAGAUGGGGAUAGCUAUUAGAAAUAGUAGAUAAUACCGAAUACGAGCACAGGGGUUAGAGAUCUGUGAGGAAAGGAGCUAAGGCUCCGCUGAAGGAAUGGCCUGCGGCCCAUUAGCUAGUUGGUGAGGUAAGAGCCCCACCAAGGCGAUGAUGGGUAUCCGGCCUUAGAGGGUGAACGGACACAUUGGGACUGAGAUACGGCCCAGACUCCUACGGGAGGCAGCAGUGGGGAAUAUUGGGCAAUGGGCGCAAAGCCUGACCCAGCAACGCCGCGUGAAGGAAGAAGGCCUUCGGGUUGUAAACUUCUUUUAUGAGGGACGAAGGACGUGACGGUACCUCAUGAAUAAGCCACGGCUAACUACGUGCCAGCCGCUGC